rnacentral:rRNA from 1 species
UACGUAGGGUGCAAGCAUUAAUCGGAUUUAUUGGGCGUAAAGCGCGCGUAGGCGGCCCGGUAAGUCCGCUGUGAAAGUCAAAGGCUCAACCUUUGAAUGUCAGCGGAUACUGCCGGGCUAGAGUCCGGAAGAGGCGAGUGGAACUCCUGGUGUAGCGGUGGAAUGCGCAGAUAUCAGGAAGAACACCAACGGCGAAGGCAGCUCGCUGGGACGGUACUGACGCUGAGACGCGAAAGCGUGGGGAGCGAACAGG